UACGGGGGGGGCAAGCGUUGUUCGGAAUUACUGGGCGUAAAGGGCUCGUAGGCGGCCAACUAAGUCAGACGUGAAAUCCCUCGGCUUAACCGGGGAACUGCGUCUGAUACUGGAUGGCUAGAGGUUGGGAGAGGGAUGCGGAAUUCCAGGUGUAGCGGUGAAAUGCGUAGAUAUCGUAAGGAAGACCAGUGGCGAAGGCGGGUCUCUGGACAGUUCCUGACGCUGAGGCACGAAGGUCAGGGGAGCAAACGGG
rnacentral:rRNA from 1 species